GCCUGGAUGACCCUCAGUAGCCUGGGGUGCAGGCGUUCAAACUUGUAGCUGUCUAGUGACAGAGUGGUUCAUUUCCACCUUUCGGGU
rnacentral:tRNA from 1 species